rnacentral:rRNA from 1 species
GACGAACGCUGGCGGCGCGCCUAACACAUGCAAGUCGAACGAGAGAGAGGAAGCUUGCUUCCUCAAUCGAGUGGCGAACGGGUGAGUAACGCGUGAGGAACCUGCCUCAAAGAGGGGGACAACAGUUGGAAACGACUGCUAAUACCGCAUAAGCCCACAGCUCGGCAUCGAGCAGAGGGAAAAGGAGCAAUCCGCUUUGAGAUGGCCUCGCGUCCGAUUAGCUAGUUGGUGAGGUAACGGCCCACCAAGGCGACGAUCGGUAGCCGGACUGAGAGGUUGAACGGCCACAUUGGGACUGAGACACGGCCCAGACUCCUACGGGAGGCAGCAGUGGGGAAUAUUGCACAAUGGGGGAAACCCUGAUGCAGCGACGCCGCGUGGAGGAAGAAGGUCUUCGGAUUGUAAACUCCUGUUGUUGAGGAAGAUAAUGACGGUAC